rnacentral:rRNA from 1 species
UUGAACGCUGGCGGCAGGCCUAACACAUGCAAGUCGAGCGGUAGCACAGAGAGCUUGCUCUCGGGUGACGAGCGGCGGACGGGUGAGUAAUGUCUGGGAAACUGCCUGAUGGAGGGGGAUAACUACUGGAAACGGUAGCUAAUACCGCAUAAUGUCGCAAGACCAAAGUGGGGGACCUUCGGGCCUCAUGCCAUCAGAUGUGCCCAGAUGGGAUUAGCUAGUAGGUGGGGUAACGGCUCACCUAGGCGACGAUCCCUAGCUGGUCUGAGAGGAUGACCAGCCACACUGGAACUGAGACACGGUCCAGACUCCUACGGGAGGCAGCAGUGGGGAAUAUUGCACAAUGGGCGCAAGCCUGAUGCAGCCAUGCCGCGUGUGUGAAGAAGGCCUUCGGGUUGUAAAGCACUUUCAGCGGGGAGGAAGGCGUUAAGGUUAAUAACCUUGGCGAUUGACGUUACCCGCAGAAGAAGCACCGGCUAACUCCGUGCCAGCAGCCGCGGUAAUACGGAGGGUGCAAGCGUUAAUCGGAAUUACUGGGCGUAAAGCGCACGCAGGCGGUCUGUCAAGUCGGAUGUGAAAUCCCCGGGCUCAACCUGGGAACUGCAUUCGAAACUGGCAGGCUAGAGUCUUGUAGAGGGGGGUAGAAUUCCAGGUGUAGCGGUGAAAUGCGUAGAGAUCUGGAGGAAUACCGGUGGCGAAGGCGGCCCCCUGGACAAAGACUGACGCUCAGGUGCGAAAGCGUGGGGAGCAAACAGGAUUAGAUACCCUGGUAGUCCACGCCGUAAACGAUGUCGAUUUGGAGGUUGUGCCCUUGAGGCGUGGCUUCCGGAGCUAACGCGUUAAAUCGACCGCCUGGGGAGUACGGCCGCAAGGUUAAAACUCAAAUGAAUUGACGGGGGCCCGCACAAGCGGUGGAGCAUGUGGUUUAAUUCGAUGCAACGCGAAGAGACGUACCUGGUCUUGACUUCCACAGAACUUUCCAGGGAUGGGUUGGUGCCUUCGGGAACUGAGAGGCAGGUGCGGCAUGGCUGUCGUCAGCUCGUGUUGUGAAAUGUUGGGUUAAGUCCCGCAACGAGCGCAACCCUUAUCCUUUGUUGCCAGCGGUCCGGCCGGGAACUCAAAGGAGACUGCCAGUGAUAAACUGGAGGAAGGUGAGGAUGACGUCAAGUCAUCAUGGCCCUUACGACCAGGGCUACACACGUGCUACAAUGGCAUAUACAAAGAGAAGCGACCUCGCGAGAGCAAGCGGACCUCAUAAAGUAUGUCGUAGUCCGGAUUGGAGUCUGCAACUCGACUCCAUGAAGUCGGAAUCGCUAGUAAUCGUAGAUCAGAAUGCUACGGUGAAUACGUUCCCGGGCCUUGUACACACCGCCCGUCACACCAUGGGAGUGGGUUGCAAAAGAAGUAGGUAGCUUAACCUUCGGGAGGGCGCUUACCACUUUGUGAUUCAUGACUGGGGUG